rnacentral:rRNA from 1 species
UACGUAGGGUGCGAGCGUUGUCCGGAUUUACUGGGCGUAAAGCGUGCGUAGGUGGUGAGUUAAGUCUGUCGUGAAAGCCCCGGGCUCAACCUGGGGAAUGGCGAUGGAUACUGGCUCGCUAGAGUGCGGUAGAGGAGAGUGGAAUUCCCGGUGUAGCAGUGAAAUGCGUAGAGAUCGGGAGGAACAUCAGUUGCGAAGGCGGCUCUCUGGACCAGCACUGACACUGAGGCACGAAAGCGUGGGGGAGCAAACAGG